rnacentral:rRNA from 1 species
AUUGAACGCUUGCGGCAGGCCUAACACAUGCAAGUCGAGCGAGCGGCGGACGGGUGAGUAAUGUCUGGGAAACUGCCUGAUGGAGGGGGAUAACUACUGGAAACGGUAGCUAAUACCGCAUACCAUCUGAUGUGCCCAGAUGGGAUUAGCUAGUGGGUGGGGUAACGGCUCACCUAGGCGACGAUCACUAGCUGGUCUGAGAGGAUGACCAGCCAGCCUGGAACGGAGACACGGUCCGGAAUCCUACGGGGGGCAGCAGUGGGGAAUAUUGCACAAUGGGCGCAAGCCUGAUGCAGCCAUGCCGCGGGUAUGAAGAAGGCCUUCGGUUUGUAAAGCACUUUCAGCGGGGAGGCGUUACCCGCAGAAGAAGCACCGGCUAACUCCGUGCCAGCAGGCGCGGUAAUUC